CUCCCAAAAUGUAACGGAGGCGCUCAAAGGUUCCCUCAGCCUGGUUGGCAAUCAGGUGUCGAGUGCAAGUGCACAAGGGAGCUUGACUGUGAGACUGACAGGUCGAGGCAGGGGACGAAAAGUCGGAACAUUUUCCCCCGGGGAAAAAUUUUCCCCGGGGGAAAAAUUUGGGGGUUUUAAAAACCCCCAAAAAGGGGCCCCCUUUUAAAACCCCCGGGGGUUWAAAAACCCCCGGGGUUUCCCCCUUUGGGGAAAAAGGGGCCCCCAAAAAUUUCCCCCGGGGGAAAAAUUUCCCCCGGGGGAAAAAUUUGGGGUUUAAAAACCCCCAAAAAGGGGGCCCCCUUUUAAAACCCCGGGGGUUUAAAAACCCCCGGGGGUUUCCCCCUUUUGGGGGAAAAAGGGGGCCCCCAAAAAUUUUCCCCCGGGGAAAAAUUUCCCCCGGGGGAAAAAUUUUGGGGGUUUUAAAAA
rnacentral:ncRNA from 1 species